AAAAAUUCUUCCGGUUUAAAGAACGAUGAGCCUUGUCUAUCUGGAUUUGUUGAUGGGAUAGCUAUAGUUUGUGAGAGACUCGAUUGUCAAGGACUUGAUGAAACUAUAAAUCAUAAGGAAACAAACGAUGUGAAUGAUGAUAUUUUAACAGGAUUACCAGAAGUUAAUUUAAACGGCGCUGGCUUUUCUCCACGUAGUCAUGCUUCUCUAAAUUCAUCAGAUGAAGAUAUUCCAAACAAUGAAAAAAAAGUAUUAGAACAACCAAAAAUGAUCUCAAAAAGUAGCGGUACCAAAAAAUUGGUUUUGUCUAUACAAUGUGAUAAUAAAAUAAAUGAUAAUGAUGAGGUCAAUAGAAAAAAAAACCAAAAUUGCGACUGUUAAGCUCUCACAAUAUGAUAAGAAAGAAAAAUCAUCAGAAAAUAGUGGAAAAUUAUCAAAGUCAGAUGAACAAAUUGAAUUAGAUCAAAAGAGAAUAAAAAAGACACCAGAACGAAAAGGGCAAAUGAAUCAAAGUCAAGUUUCAAAACCAG